GCUUUUCCGUGGAGCCGUUCCAGUCAGUUGAGCUGAGAAGAGCUCGAAAGCUGAAGGAAAGAUUUCGUUUCUUCUGCUCCACCUUGGAGCUAGAUAUUGAUAGAAAAUUAAUUCUAAGUUAAAGAUACCUACUUCUAAGUUUCAUUUUGGACCACCGAGCGACCUGCUCUGUAAAUCUUUUGUGUUUUGAAGAGCAAGAAGCUGCGCUUCGUCGUGUAUUGUUUCUGUUGAAUCGUCUCGGUGAAGUUUUUUGGACCUGGAUUCCGCUGUGGAUUGAUGACUGCGUUUGAUGGCGAGCCACCCACCCCAUUGAGUCGGAUCCUGUCCUGUGUCAUUGUACAUGGCGCAUGUGGUAGGGUUGUGACCUGCCUGUGUCACAACAACACUGACUGACUGACUUGAGUUGUUACUUUAACGGUUUACAAACUGAACUAAGGCCUUGAACUGAACGGAACUACUAUAAAGGAACUGCAUUUUCUUUUUUUUUUUCUUGAACAACUGAAAGGAACUCUUUUCUCUUUGAGGAUUUAAAGGACUGAUUUAAAGGACUGUUCCCAACUUUUGGAAAAUAGACAAUUACUCACUUUUGAAGGACAAUUCAUUUUAUUUUAUUUUAAAGGGUCAAUUCUUUUCUUUUAUUUUGGGAAUAUGUACAUAUUUUCUACCUUGCAAUUCAUAACUAAAGAAAGAAAAAAAGUA